rnacentral:rRNA from 1 species
AAAAGGCUACCAUCGAGGGCUAACGUCCCGUCCGGUCUAACGCGGUAUUUGUCACUAAUUUGCUGGCUGUAGGACCCAAGAGUCGUGCAGUUUGAGAGUGCUGUACUAAACCGCAGGUGUACUUCUGCGAAGGCUAAAUAUUGCACCAAGUCCGAUAGCGAACAAGUAGUGUGAACGAAAGAUGAAAAGCACUUUGGAAAGAGAGUGAAAAAGUCUUUGACAUCGUUGGGCGCCAAGGGUAUAGGACCCGUGAUGGCGACAUCCGUGGCUGCAGAUAGUCACGGAGUCAGCGACCGCUUCUAAACGUCUGGGACCUGCUGCUCGGCAAUUCUGCCUGGAUUCCCUUCGGGGUUUUUGGGGGCGCUGAGAGCUCGGCUGUGUCCAAGGGGCGGGAACCUAUUUUGAUGGAGUCUUCGUAUGGCCCUAUUGAAGGCUGGUGACCGCGAUCCGAGCGUAUGUCCCUACGGGGAGGUGCCUCUUGUCGCGGGAGAUGAAUAGAAUCAGCCCGAAAGGUGGGGAAUAACAGGAGCUCCUGAUGAUCGCUGGCACGCUUCCCUCGAGGAAGUAAUAGAUUUUACACGGUCUUUUACCAACCGUCUUGUAACACGGACCAAGGAGUCUACCGAAUGUGCGAGCGUUUUGGUGAGUGAAACCAUACGACGCGCAAUGAAAGUGACAAUUUUUUUACACCUGUGACUAGGCUGUCUAGGGGCUUGUCUUCUAGUAUUACUUAGGCAACGGGGCUCGGUCCGGCUGGAAUUCUCAAAAGGAUCUGAAGCAAAGCACAUUCGCUGGGACCCGAAAGAUAGCGAGCUUUUCCUGGGCCGGUGGAAGCCAGGGGAAACCUUGGUGGACGACCGUAACAGUGCUGACGUGCAAAUCGCUUGUCGGAUCAAGGCAAAGGGGCGAAAGACUCAUCGAGCUAUCUAGUAGCUGGUUCCCUCCGAAGUUUCUCUCAGGAUAGCUAGAGACAAACAUCUACGAGUUGCGUCAGGUAAAGCAAAUGAUUAGAAGUCUUGGGGAGAUUCUUUUCCUCAACUUAUUCUCAAACUCUAAAUGGGCGCGGUAUGCUUCCUUCUUCAUUGAGGUAGCAGCUAGAAUCGAGUCUCUAAGUGGGCCACUAUUGGUAAGCAGUAUUGGCGACGCGGGAUGCACCGAAAGCGGACCAAAGGUACCUAAGCAUUUGCUAAUUAGAUCCCAGCGAAGGGCGUUGGUUCAUCUAGACAGCAGGAAUGUGAUCAUGGAAGUCGAAACCGUCUAAGGAGUGUGUAACAACUCACCUGCCGAAUGGACCAGCCCCGAAAAUGGACGAUGCUUAAGCAGAUCACCUAUGGUCCGCCGGUCCACUGGUAAAAACUUCAAUAAUCCAGGGCCGCGUAGGAGGGCGUGGGGCACGAGAAGAAGCGUUUGGCGUAAGCCUGCGUGUUAUCGUGUAAUCCCAGUGCAGAUCUUGGUGGUAGUAGCGAUUAUUCUGUUUGAGAACACAGAAGACUGAAGCGGAGUAGGUUUCCAUGUGAACAGUACUUGGACAUGGGUCAGUCGGUCCUAACCCCCAAGGAAGUCCUUCUUGGAAAGGCCGUGGAGCCAGUCGUGGGUCAAACUACGAUUGGAGUCACUCACUCGGCAGCGGGGGAAAGGGAAUUCGGUCAACAUUCCGAAACCGGCAUGUGGGGAACAGGGAUUGGGGCUUGCUCCAUCUCCCUUAAGAUAUCUCUUUUCAUCGGGGGGUAUCGACGAGGCUUUAAAGCAGUUGACGACGGCAGGUCGCCAGGGUAGUCUAGCCUGUGGAGAGUUAUCUUUUCUCUUUGACGUAGCUGACGCUUCGAAUAUCAUUUCACGUGGAGAAAAGCGUCUGAACACAUAGGGAAAGCGGCGCGCCUCACCAUGCGCCGUUCUAGGUGCCUUGACUAUCCUUCUGAAAGCCCUGCCUGAGAUCCACAAACGUUGACUUCCUUCACGGGAAGGUAACGAAAAAACACACCUUAGCCCCUAUUGUGGUCGGCUUUCGUCUUCUUCACGGGAGGCGGGAGUUGUGCCACAAGGGACUAGGGAGUGGCUUCCCUUACACGCUCGGCCGUACCGAUAACCGCAUCCGGACUCCGAGGUGAAUAGCCUCUGGUCAAUGGAGCAAUGUGACCAAGGGAAGUCGGCAAAAUCGAUGCGUAACUUCGGGAGAAGCAUUGGCUCCACUGGCUGGAUGGUGGUCAUGUCAGCCAAUGCAGGCAACACGCUUCACGGCGUUUGUGGGUCGGCGUGGGAUGAUCGAUGAACUGCUCUCGGGUGGAUUAUUGAUCGCUCAUGUCGGCUCCGUUGUCUGUAUCGCUGCGGGUUCAAAUGGUCAUCACAGUGGCUUGCUGCUGUGGUGGCUUUUGCCCGCCUGGCUGGUUUUGUCAUGUAACAGUGGCAAAGUUUGGCUCCAUUGUGAACAGCUAAUCUGGAACUGGCGCUGAGAAGGGGAAUCUAACUGUUUAAUUGAAACAUAGCAUGGAGAGACGCAUGUUGAGGUCGUCGUGGGCUCCAGGUGCGUCCUGCCCAGUGCUCUCGAAUGUUAAUGCGAAGAGAUUCUAUCAAGCUCGGGUAAACGGCGGGAGUAACUAUGACUCUCUUAAGGUAGCCAAAUGCCUCGUCUUCUAAUUAAAGACGCGCAUGAAUGGAUUAAUGAGAUUCCCACUGUCCCUGGUUACUAUCCAGCGAACCCACAGUCAAGGGAACGGGCUUGAAGUCUUCAGCGGGGAAAGAAGACCCUGUUGAGUUUGACUCUAAUCUGGAAUUGUGCAGUGACACCCGGGGUGUAGCAUAGGUGGGAGGUCCGGUUUAUCCGCCAACGGUGAAAUACCACUACUCGGGUCGUUGCUUUGCUCAUCGCAUGAAUUGGAGACGGCGGCCGCUGGCGAGUUCACGCUCGUCGGUCAAGCAGCAGGGGGAGGUGUAUUCCGUGGAGGCGCUUGCGUACUUGCGGGGUGCAUCUUCGUAUCCUACUGUGGGCCUAUUUCCGUUCUGAGAAGUAAGCACCGUAAAACGUGUGAUCCAUGGUUGCGAGACAUUGGCCAGAUGGGGAGUUUGGCUGGGGCGGCAUAUCUGUUAAACUUUAACGCAGGUGUCCUAAGGCACGCUCCGUGAGAACAGAAAUCUCACGUAGCGCAUAAGGGUAAAAGCGUGCUUGAUUUCUUGAUCUUCAGUACUGAUCCAGACCGUGAAAGCGAGGCCUAACGAUCCUUUGUACUCAUUAUAGAGGGAAACUUCUAUGUUCCAAGUUCGAAGUCAGAGGUGCCAGAAAAAUUACCACAGGGAUAACUGGCUUGUGGCCGCCAAGAGUCCUGAUCGACGCUGCUUUUUGAUCCUUCGAUGUCGGCUCUUCCUAUCCUUGCUCCGCAGCAGAAGCAAAGGGCCCGAUUGUUCACCGGUUAACUAGGGAACGUGAGCUGGGUUUAGACCGUCGUGAGACAGGUUGGUUUUACCCUACUGAAGAGUAGAAACAUUAUGCAUUUCAGAGUGUGUUGAAGGAAGUGUGGGGUAGUACGAGAGGAACUCCCACUCCACGCAUCUGGUUUCUGUCGUCACCCGACCGAGUGCGCGGCGAAGCUACGCGUGCUGGCUAACGGCUGAAGGCCUCUUAAGCCGGAAACCAAUCCAGUGACACGCUUACGGAACGAGGGUUCGGAGGUUUCUUGUAUUCCUCCCCUUCGUUUCGUAGGGAAUCUGAGCAGAAGAACUGAUUAUUCUCCGGGACGACUUACACACAGUUUGCUCGU